rnacentral:misc_RNA from 1 species
UUUUCACCUACUUCUGAUGAGGAGGAGGAGCUUGACUGACUACUGCAUUUUUGUUCAGAUGUUGCUGACUUUGAACAAAUUUUAGACGGAUCAAGUACCAUGGAGCUGGCUGCUGUUUCUUCAUGGAAUACAUUUGGUACCAAAUCAUGAUGAUUUUCCACAUUUGGUAGUGUAACAUCAGUGUCAUCGAGUUCAAUAUCCCUCUUAUCAGA